ACCACACAGCCUUCCUUCACCACACAGCCACCGCUCUCUCUCACAAUCUCUCUCUCGGGCGAUUUUCUCUCGCGAUCUCUCUCACCACCACACCGAGUCCGAGUCUCACUCUCACCCCAAAUUAGGUAAUUAAUUUAGUGUUUUGAAAUCUAAUUUCUGUUGGUAGAUUUUGCUUUGAAGUUUUCAAAUGGUUUUAAGAUUUAAUUUUUUGUUUUGUUAUUCCGUAACCUGACUAUUGUUGUUUUAUUGUUUGAUUUUAUUAGAAGGUUAUCUUAAUUAUGGCUCUAUAUCUUUCGUUGGUGCUUUGAUCUCUUUAUUGCUCAUAUCUUCCUUCAUGUUGCAGCUUUAUUAGUUGAGCGAGCAGCAUCCUUGAAGUUGACGAAUAUGUGAGAGUCCCAUUGGGUUACUGCCAAUGACCAAAUGUAGAUGUUAUGCAAAUGGAUGGGAAUGGCAUUUACAGUAAAACGUUUAGAUC
rnacentral:lncRNA from 1 species